rnacentral:rRNA from 1 species
UGGGGAAUAUUGGACAAUGGGCGAAAGCCUGAUCCAGCCAUGCCGCGUGAGUGACGAAGGCCUUAGGGUUGUAAAGCUCUUUUGGCGGGGAAGAUAAUGACGGUACCCGCAGAAUAAGCUCCGGCUAACUUCGUGCCAGCAGCCGCGGUAAUACAGAGGGUGCGAGCGUUAAUCGGAGUGACUGGGCGUAAAGGGCAUGUAGGCGGUUAUAUUAGUCUGAUGUAAAAGACCCGGGCUUAACCUGGGAUAUGCAUUGGAAACGGUAUAGCUAGAGUAUGGGAGAGGGAAGUGGAAUUUCCGGUGUAGCGGUGAAAUGCGUAGAGAUCGGAAAGAACACUCGUGGCGAAGGCGGCUUUCUGGCCCAUAACUGACGCUGAGGUGCGAAAGCAUGGGGAGCAAACAGGAUUAGAUACCCCCGUAGUCCCUGAGCGGGCUGGCAAGGCGCAU